UUAACCAUCGAUCGAGUGAGUCGACGCAAAAAGAUUUUUAAUAAUUUUAAUAAUAAAGUUCGUUGCCUGUGAACGGCUCGUAUACGACUAACGCAAUGAGUAAGAUUUCAACAUGAUUAUUUCAGAGACUUUAAUGCCAGCAUAGACGAGAUUUUUUCGAAAGGAUUCAUUGGCGCUGUCAUAAAAAAAAAAAAAAAGAAAAAUAAAACAAGAAGAAAUAAGUAACCAUUAUGCCAAUUAUUAUUUGUUGAGUGAUCUACAGGAAACAAAAAGGCACACCUCAAAGAGAAAAAUUUACUAACGGAAUGCGUGUCGCAGAGAACGUGGUAUAAGCACGGCCUUGAACGUACUUGACAUAAACACCGCAUUCGACGUUCUAUUCGUUCAAGAGAGAAAAAUUCAAUAAAAACUUUUUACCAUUGCGUGCAGCCGACAACGAACAGGAAAUCCAAGUAAAUCAAAUUUUCGAGAAUUUGUUAAAAUGAAAUCGAAUAUUGCUCGAGCGUUUGUUCAAGGACAUUAGUAUAGAUCGAUAACGUUAUCUUCUAAUGGUAACGUUCUUAACUUCCGCAUUCUUUUAUUUUUUUACAUUUGAGAAUUUUUAAUCUUGAGAAUUCUCUUGUUUGAAGUUUUUUUUUU